rnacentral:rRNA from 1 species
CUGACGAGUGGCGGACGGGUGAGUAAUGUCUGGGAAACUGCCUGAUGGAGGGGGAUAACUACUGGAAACGGUAGCUAAUACCGCAUAACGUCGCAAGACCAAAGAGGGGGACCUUCGGGCCUCUUGCCAUCGGAUGUGCCCAGAUGGGAUUAGCUAGUAGGUGGGGUAACGGCUCACCUAGGCGACGAUCCCUAGCUGGUCUGAGAGGAUGACCAGCCACACUGGAACUGAGACACGGUCCAGACUCCUACGGGAGGCAGCAGUGGGGAAUAUUGCACAAUGGGCGCAAGCCUGAUGCAGCCAUGCCGCGUGUAUGAAGAAGGCCUUCGGGUUGUAAAGUACUUUCAGCGGGGAGGAAGGGAGUAAAGUUAAUACCUUUGCUCAUUGACGUUACCCGCAGAAGAAGCACCGGCUAACUCCGUGCCAGCAGCCGCGGUAAUACGGAGGGUGCAAGCGUUAAUCGGAAUUACUGGGCGUAAAGCGCACGCAGGCGGUUUGUUAAGUCAGAUGUGAAAUCCCCGGGCUCAACCUGGGAACUGCAUCUGAUACUGGCAAGCUUGAGUCUCGUAGAGGGGGGUAGAAUUCCAGGUGUAGCGGUGAAAUGCGUAGAGAUCUGGAGGAAUACCGGUGGCGAAGG